rnacentral:rRNA from 1 species
GAGUUUGAUCCUGGCUCAGGACGAACGCUGGCGGCGUGCCUAACACAUGCAAGUCGAACGAAGCAUAGUAAUAUGCUUAGUGGCGGACGGGUGAGUAACGCGUGAACAAUCUGCCCUAUACAAAGGAAUAGCCUCGGGAAACCGGGAUUAAAACCAUAUAACACUUUAGAAUCGCAUGAUACAGAAGUCAAAUUGAUUAGAGGUAUAGGAUGAGUUCGCGUCUGAUUAGCUAGUUGGCGGGGUAACGGCCCACCAAGGCGACGAUCAGUAGCCGGCCUGAGAGGGUGAACGGCCACACUGGAACUGAGACACGGUCCAGACUCCUACGGGAGGCAGCAGUGGGGAAUAUUGCACAAUGGGGGAAACCCUGAUGCAGCGACGCCGCGUGAGUGAAGAAGGUCUUCGGAUCGUAAAACUCUGUCCUUGGUGACGAAAAAAAUGACGGUAGCCAAGGAGGAAGCCCCGGCUAACUACGUGCCAGCAGCCGCGGUAAUACGUAGGGGGCGAGCGUUGUCCGGAUUUACUGGGCGUAAAGGGUGAGUAGGCGGUAAUAUGUGUCAGAUGUAAAAGGCUAUGGCUUAACCAUAGUUGGCAUUUGAAACUGUAUUACUUGAGUGCAGGAGAGGUAAGUGGAAUUCCUAGUGUAGCGGUGAAAUGCGUAGAUAUUAGGAGGAACACCAGUGGCGAAGGCGACUUACUGGACUGUAACUGACGCUGAGUCACGAAAGCGUGGGUAGCAAACAGGAUUAGAUACCCUGGUAGUCCACGCUGUAAACGAUGAGUGCUAGGGUGUAGGGGGUAUCGACACCCUCUGUGCCGCAGUAAACGCAAUAAGCACUCCGCCUGGGGAGUACGGUCGCAAGAC